CUAAAUUAAGCAAGGAUUGUAUCAAUUGGGAGAAUUGACCACGACGAUGGCUUGGGGGGCAAAAAAAGAGAGAGAAAUUUACAAGCUGCUUUUUAUUCGAAAAUAAUAUGGUGGGCAUUGGGCAAUGCCCAAUAGGUUUUCUUCACAUGGAAGGUUUAGAAAAUGUUUUUUUUUUUUUUUUUGAGAAUUUAGAAAAUUAUUUUCUUUUCACUGAAAUUUCCUCACUAUCAAUCACUUUCUUGUGAUAGGAUGAUUGAAUUUGACUUUUACAUGAGAAUUAUAUUCUAUUUUUUAACUUAAACAUUAUCUAUGUACAGGAAUUGCAAAAUUA
rnacentral:lncRNA from 1 species